rnacentral:rRNA from 1 species
GAUGAACGCUGGCGGCGUGCCUAAUACAUGCAAGUCGAGCGAACGGACGAGAAGCUUGCUCCUCUGACGUUAGCGGCGGACGGGUGAGUAACACGUGGAUAACCUACCUAUAAGACUGGGAUAACUUCGGGAAACCGGAGCUAAUACCGGAUAAUAUAUUGAACCGCAUGGUUCAAUAGUGAAAGACGGUUUUGCUGUCACUUAUAGAUGGAUCCGCGCUGCAUUAGCUAGUUGGUAAGGUAACGGCUUACCAAGGCAACGAUGCGUAGCCGACCUGAGAGGGUGAUCCGCCACACUGGAACUGAGACACGGUCCAGACUCCUACGGGAGGCAGCAGUAGGGAAUCUUCCGCAAUGGGCGAAAGCCUGACGGAGCAACGCCGCGUGAGUGAUGAAGGUCUUCGGAUCGUAAAACUCUGUUAUUAGGGAAGAACAAAUGUGUAAGUAACUAUGCACGUCUUGACGGUACCUAAUCAGAAAGCCACGGCUAACUACGUG